UACGUAGGGUGCAAGCGUUGUCCGGAAUUAUUGGGCGUAAAGAGCUCGUAGGCGGUCUGUCGCGUCGGCUGUGAAAUCCCGAGGCUCAACCUCGGGUCUGCAGUCGAUACGGGCAAACUGGAGUGUUGCAGGGGAGACUGGAAUUCCUGGUGUAGCGGUGAAAUGCGCAGAUAUCAGGAGGAACACCGGUGGCGAAGGCGGGUCUCUGGGCAACAACUGACGCUGAGGAGCGAAAGCCAGGGGAGCAAACGGG
rnacentral:rRNA from 1 species